GCGACCGAUCAGGUAGUUGGUGAGGCAAUGGCUCACCAAGCCUUUUACCGGUGCGGGCCGUGAGAGCGGGAGCCCGGUGAUGGGCACUGAGACAAGGGCCCAGGCCCCACGGGGCGCAGCAGUCGCGAAAAUUUUGCAAUACACGAAAGUGUGACAGAGCUAUCCCGAGUGCCAUCCGCUGAGGAAGGCUUUUACUCAGUAUAAAUAGCUGGGAGAAUAAGGAGAGGGCAAGUCUGGUGUCAGCCGCCGCGGUAAUACCAGCUCUCCGAGUAGUGUGGACGUUUAUUGGGCCUAAAGCAUCCGUAGCUUGCUAGAUAAGUCCUCUGUUAAAUCCACCGAUUCAAUCGUUGGAUUGCGGGGGAUACUGUUUGGCUAGGGGACGGGAGAGGUCGACGGUAUUUCCGGGGUAGGGGUGAAAUCCUAUAAUCCCGGGAGGACCACCAGUGGCGAAGGCUGUCGACUAGAACGCGCCCGACGGUGAGGGAUGAAAGCUGGGGGAGCGAACCGGAUUAGAUACCCGGGUAGUCCCAGCUGUAAACGAUGCAGGCUAGGUGUUUGGGCGGCCACGAGCCGCCCUAGUGCCGCAGGGAAGCUGUUAAGCCUGCCGCCUGGGGAGUACGGCCGCAAGGCUGAAACUUAAAGGAAUUGGCGGGGGAGCACCACAAGGGGUGAAGCUUGCGGUUUAAUUGGCCAACGCCGGAAAUCUCACCGGGAUCGACAGCAGUAUGAAGGCCAGAUUAAAGGUCUUGCUAGACGAGCUGAGAGGAGGUGCAUGGCCGUCGCCAGUUCGUGCCGUGAGGUGUCCUGUUAAGUCAGGCAACGAUCGAGACCCGCGUCCUCUGUUGCUACUGGUUUUGUGCCAGGCACACUGAGGAGACCGCCGCUGAUAAAGCGGAGGAAGGAGCGGGCCACGGCAGGUCAGUAUGCCCCGAAUAUCCCGGGCCACACGCGAGCUGCAAUGGCAGGUACAAUGAGUUCCGACCUCGUAAGGGGAAGGCAAUCUCGAAAGCCUGCCGUAGUUGGGAUCGAGGGUUGAAACUCACCCUCGUGAACAUGGAAUCCCUAGUAAUCGCGUGUCACUAGCGCGCGGUGAAUACGUCCCUGCUCCUUGCACACACCGCCCGUCGUUCCACCCGAGCGACUCCUGGGUGAGGCGUGGUCUUCCUUGGCUGCGUCGAAUCUGGGUUUCGCAAGGGGGGAAAAGUCGUAACAAGGUG
rnacentral:rRNA from 1 species